UCGACGGUGAACACGGAGCUUGCUCUGUGGGAUCAGUGGCGAACGGGUGAGUAACACGUGAGCAACCUGCCCCUGACUCUGGGAUAAGCGCUGGAAACGGCGUCUAAUACUGGAUAUGUGACGUGACCGCAUGGUCUGCGUCUGGAAAGAAUUUCGGUUGGGGAUGGGCUCGCGGCCUAUCAGCUUGUUGGUGAGGUAAUGGCUCACCAAGGCGUCGACGGGUAGCCGGCCUGAGAGGGUGACCGGCCACACUGGGACUGAGACACGGCCCAGACUCCUACGGGAGGCAGCAGUGGGGAAUAUUGCACAAUGGGCGCAAGCCUGAUGCAGCAACGCCGCGUGAGGGACGACGGCCUUCGGGUUGUAAACCUCUUUUAGCAGGGAAGAAGCGAAAGUGACGGUACCUGCAGAAAAAGCGCCGGCUAACUACGUGCCAGCAGCCGCGGUAAUACGUAGGGCGCAAGCGUUAUCCGGAAUUAUUGGGCGUAAAGAGCUCGUAGGCGGUUUGUCGCGUCUGCUGUGAAAUCCGGAGGCUCAACCUCCGGCCUGCAGU
rnacentral:rRNA from 1 species